CUGGUGUAUUUUGCCCGAGAUCAUCCACAGGAUCGUCCAUGCCGAUCCUGAACAGCGGGUUUGGGACUCUCUGGGGUCCUUUCUUGAGGUAGGCCGAUUUAUUUUUUUCUUCUUUUCGCUUCUUCACUUAGUUCAUUCCUUAGCUUUCAUAUUGACUUCUUGGCCGCUCUUGCAGAUUGGACACCAGUUCAUCGCCAACAUCGAGGUAAUGAAAAAUGUAAAGAAGGAAGCAGCCC
rnacentral:lncRNA from 1 species